rnacentral:misc_RNA from 1 species
GAUGAAGAACGUAGCGAAAUGCGAUAAGUAAUGUGAAUUGCAGAAUUCAGUGAAUCAUCGAAUCUUUGAACGCACAUUGCGCCCUUCAGUAUUCUGGCGGGCAUGCCUGUUCGAGCGUCAUUACGCCCCUCAAGUCCCCUGUGGACUUGGUGUUGGGGAUCGGCGAGGCUGGUUUUCCAGCACAGCCGUCCCUUAAAUUAAUUGGCGGUCUCGCCGUGGCCCUCCUCUGCGCAGUAGUAAAACACUCGCAACAGGAGCCCGGCGCGGUCCACUGCCGUAAAACCCCCCAACUUUUUAUAGUUGACCUCGAAUCAGGUAGGACUACCCGCUGAACUUAAGCAUAUCAAUAAGCGGAGGA